rnacentral:tRNA from 1 species
GUCUCUAUAGCUUAGUUGGUAGAGCAUCGGACUUUUAAUCCGCUGGUCCUCGGUUCGAGCCCGAGUGGAGACA